rnacentral:rRNA from 3 species
GAUGAACGCUGGCGGCGUGCCUAACACAUGCAAGUCGAGCGAUUCUCUUCGGAGAAGAGCGGCGGACGGGUGAGUAACGCGUGGGUAACCUGCCCUGUACACACGGAUAACAUACCGAAAGGUAUGCUAAUACGAGAUAAUAUGCUUUUAUCGCAUGGUAGAAGUAUCAAAGCUUUUGCGGUACAGGAUGGACCCGCGUCUGAUUAGCUAGUUGGUAAGGUAACGGCUUACCAAGGCGACGAUCAGUAGCCGACCUGAGAGGGUGAUCGGCCACAUUGGAACUGAGACACGGUCCAAACUCCUACGGGAGGCAGCAGUGGGGAAUAUUGCACAAUGGGCGAAAGCCUGAUGCAGCAACGCCGCGUGAGCGAUGAAGGCCUUCGGGUCGUAAAGCUCUGUCCUCAAGGAAGAUAAUGACGGUACUUGAGGAGGAAGCCCCGGCUAACUACGUG